rnacentral:rRNA from 1 species
CCUACGGGUGGCAGCAGUGAGGAAUAUUGGUCAAUGGGCGAGAGCCUGAACCAGCCAAGUCGCGUGAAGGAUGACGGCCCUACGGGUUGUAAACUUCUUUUGUCAGGGAGCAAUUGGGUCCACGCGUGGGCUUAGCGAGAGUACCUGAAGAAAAAGCAUCGGCUAACUCCGUGCCAGCAGCCGCGGUAAUACGGAGGAUGCGAGCGUUAUCCGGAUUUAUUGGGUUUAAAGGGAGCGUAGAUGGGUUGUUAAGUCAGUUGUGAAAGUUUGCGGCUAAACCCCGGCGAGCCGUUGAAACUGGCUGUCUUGAGAUGUCGAGAGGUAUGCGGAAUGCGCAGUGUAGCGGUGAAAUGCUUAGAUAUUGCGCAGAACUCCGAUUGCGAAGGCAGCAUACCGGCGGCGAUCUGACGCUGAGGCACGAAAGCGUGGGUAUCGAACAGGAUUAGAUACCCUAGUAGUC